rnacentral:rRNA from 1 species
UGUAAGCGUAUACCAAAGUUGUUGCAGUUAAAACGCUCGUAGUCGGAAUUUGGCAGUUCCGGAUGUGUGCACGUCGUGUGCGCACUUCGCGGGGAUUGCUUUUGUGGUCUUGCGUAGGAUGAGGCACUUUUAUUAGUGAACGUCCUCACGCAACCACUUUUUACUGUGAGAAAAUCCGAGUGCUCAAAGCAGGCAUUUGCCGUGAAUGUAUUAGCAUGGAAUAAUAGAAUAGGACUUGGUUCUAUUUUGUUGGUUUGUUGGGACUGAGUAAUGAUUAAGAGGGACAGUUGGGGGCAUUUGUAUUUCGGUGCUAGAGGUGAAAUUCUUAGAUUACCGAAAGACAAACUGCUGCGAAAGCGUCUGCCAAGGAUGUUUUCAUUGA